ACAUCAGCUUUGUUGCAGCAAUGAUGCUUAAUAAAUAACACCACUCCAUAAUAUGUUCGCUCGGUAGAGAUAAUAAUCAUUGACUUGUAACUGCAACUGUGAAUCUGUGAUGGUUUUUUUUUUUGGUCUGAUGCAACGCUGAUUAUACUCAAUACUAAAAGGCAAACACUGAAAUACUAUUAAUCACUGUUCAAUGAACAGUUCACACCGAUUUUGCCCCUGCAUUUUCUGAAAUUUUACCUGAUUACUGUUUGCAUGCAGAUAGGAAGAAAGAAGACGACAUCUUGCUUCUGCGGAUGGUUUUGAUCUGAUGGGAGACGAAGAUAUCAACGACAGUUUUGAUCUGGAUUCUGCCGACACAGAGAAAAAGAGAGGAGACGAAGAUGAAAUAUCAGCCUCUGGAAAUUGAGCUAGCCCACGAAGCUACUUCGUAUAUGUAAUUUUGCUGACGGAGUCUUCAACAGCAGUGGUAACUCAUUUCAUAUAAGAAUAGUUUGGAGACAAUGUCUAUUGGAAGCAUGUCUCCACUUUUUGUGUGUGCAGCUACUUCGUAUAUGUAAUUUUGCUGACGGAGUCUUCAACAGCAGUGGUAACUCAUUUCAUAUAAGAAUAUUUUGGAGACAAUGUCUAUUGGAAGCAUGUUGUGCACCACACCAAAGCAUGUAAGGUUGUACUGCAUGGACAUGCUGAGUUUGAGGCAAGUGAUGUUAUCUUAAAGGUUUCAUUUUCAGCUUCUCCUGUAAUUCUGAUUUUUUUUUCCUCUCAUGUUGGUAGGUUAUUUUUUGGAACAUGGAAACAGACUGAAAGCACACUGGAAGAUCACAUGAUGAUCGUUACUGAUGUUCGAUUUAGAACAAAUCUCCUGAACAGAAUAUGGACAAGUAUGAUGGUAGAGUUUGUAUGAGUUCAGAGUCGAUGAGUAGAAUAGAGGCAAUGUUUGAAGCUGAACUUGAGAGGUUGGGGCUAAACAGGAGUACUUCUACUUUGGAGAGAAGAUUAACUGAUCUUGAUGAGCUUCCAAACAGUGUUCAUCAAGUUUCUGAAGAUUACAUUUGGGAAAGCUUUAUACUUUACAGGCCAAUGUUUACAUCAGAGGAAGUGGAGGUUCUCAGUCUAAACCAAUUCUUGCUGGCUAUUCAUCAUGCACACCCUCGGUCAGAAACCAUGUUGCUUCUUCACCAUCAAAGUUUUGAUUUCUCUCUUGGCCGCCAUAACAUCAGCAACUAGAACUUACCCGGUGCCUCCAAAUGGUCACAGAACACGAGGCCUAGGCGCUUUAGAGAUGAGUGCACCAGCUGUGAACAACAGACUGCUGCUGUUAGAUUUGCAGCACCAGAUCAAGGUGGAAGUGGCUUCUCAGGAUCAUCUUCAUGUUCUAUCAAAGCGUCCUAAAAUCCCACCUUCUGGCCCAAGCCACAGGACCAACAAGACACCUAAUUCCUCAAGACAUUACUAAACACUUUUGUUAUUUGUAUAUAGAGAACAGCUUUGGUUAGAGUAUCAUACAUGAAAUGUGUACAUACAUGAAACAGCUUCAAUUAUAUAUUAUGUCCAAUAACGUUUGUUGGAACUCGGAAAAAGGAAAAAACAACCCGCAGCUACG